ensembl:misc_RNA Metazoa_SRP Metazoan signal recognition particle RNA
GCCGGGCGCGGUGGCGCACGCCUGUAGUCCCAGCUACUCGGGAGGCUGAGACAGGAGGAUCGCUUGAGUCCAGGAGUUCUGGGCUGUAGUGCGCUAUGCCGAUCGGGUGUCCGCACUAAGUUCUGCAUCAAUAUGGUGACCUCCCGGGAGCGGGGCACCACCAGGUUGCCUAAGGAGGGGUGAACCGGCCCAGGUCGGAAACGGAGCAGGUCAAAAACUCCCGUGCUGAUCAGUAGUGGGAUCGCGCCUGUGAAUAGCCACUGCACUCCAGCCUGGGCAACAUAGCGAGACCCCGUCUCUU